ensembl:lncRNA
GGGAGAGAGGGCAGCCAGUCCCGGACUCCUGGGUCCCUCUCUCAGUUGGGGGAGAGCGGGCAGCCCUUUCCCGGACUCCUGGGUCCCUCUCUCAGUUGGGAGAGAGCGGGCAGCCCUUUCCCGGACUCCUGGGUCCCUCUCUCAGUUGGGGGAGAGCGGGCAGCCCUUUCCCGGACUCCUGGGUCCCUCUCUCAGUUGGGGGAGAGCGGGCAGCCCUUUCCCGGACUCCUGGGUCCCCCUCUCAGUUGGGGGAGAGCGGGCAGCCCAGUCCCGGACUCCUGGGUCCCUUUCUCAGUUGAGGGAGAGAGGGCAGCCAGUCCCGGACUCCUGGGUCCCUCUCUCAGUUGGGGGAGAGCGGGGAGCCCUUUCCCGGACUCCUGGGUCCCCCUCUCAGUUGAGGGAGAGAGGGCAGCCAGUCCCGGACUCCUGGGUCCCUCUCUCAGUUGGGGGAGAGCGGGCAGUCCUUUCCCGGACUCCUGGGUCCCUCUCUCAGUUGGGGGAGAGCGGGCAGCCCUUUCCCGGACUCCUGGGUCCCCCUCUCGGUUGGGGGAGAGCGGGCAGCCCAGUCCCGGACUCCUGGGUCCCUCUCUCAGUUGGGGGAGAGCGGGGAGCCCUUUCCCGGACUCCUGGGUCCCCCUCUCAGUUGGGGGAGAGCGGGCAGCCCAGUCCCGGACUCCUGGGUCCCUCUCUCAGUUGGGAGAGAGCGGGCAGCCCUUUCCCGGACUCCUGGGUCCCUCUCUCAGUUGGGGGAGAGCGGGCAGCCCAGUCCCGGACUCCUGGGUCCCUCUCUCAGUUGGGAGAGAGCGGGCAGCCCUUUCCCGGACUCCUGAGUCCCUCUCUCAGUUGGGGGAGAGCGGGCAGCCCUUUCCCGGACUCCUGGGUCCCUCUCUCAGUUGGGGGAGAGCGGGCAGCCCUUUCCCGGACUCCUGGGUCCCCCUCUCAGUUGAGGGAGAGAGGGCAGCCAGUCCCGGACUCCUGGGUCCCUCUCUCAGUUGGGGGAGAGCGGGCAGCCCUUUCCCGGACUCCUGGGUCCCCCUCUCGGUUGGGGGAGAGCGGGGAGCCCUUUCCCGGACUCCUGGGUCCCCCUCUCAGUUGAGGGAGAGAGGGCAGCCAGUCCCGGACUCCUGGGUCCCCCUCUCAGUUGGGGGAGAGCGGGCAGCCCUUUCCCGGACUCCUGGGUCCCUCUCUCAGUUGGGGGAGAACGGGGAGCCCUUUCCCGGACUCCUGGGUCCCUCUUUCAGUUGCGGGAGAGCGGGGGUCCCUUUCCCGGACUCCUGGGUCCCUCUCUCAGUUGGGGGAGGUGGGGCAGCCCUUUCCCGAACUCCUGGGUCCCUCUCUCGGUUGCGGGAGAGCGGGGGUCCCUUUCCCGGACUCCUGGGUCCCUCUCUCAGCCAGUUGCGGGGGUGGAGCCUGCCCGGACUCCUGGGUCCCCGGCAGAGGGGGGGGCGGGGCGGCUGUGACCCGGAAGAGGAAGCCGCGCGGGGUGUUGGCGUCGCCUCUCCCGGGCUGCUUCUCCUCCUUCCCCGCGGCCUCCGAGGAGCCUCCUUCUCCGCCUUGGGUCCCGGGCGCCCCGGGCAGCCGGAGAGGCCGCCAUGCCGGCGCUGCUGGAGAGGCCGAAGCUGA